rnacentral:rRNA from 1 species
GACGAACCGUCCAAACGUUAUUCGGAAUUACUGGGCUUAAAGGGUGCGUAGGCGGCGCGGAAAGUUGGGUGUGAAAUCCCUCGGCUCAACCGAGGAACUGCGCCCAAUACUGCCGUGCUCGAGGGAGAUAGAGGUGAGCGGAACUUAGGGUGGAGCGGUGAAAUGCGUUGAUAUCCUAAGGAACACCGGUGGCGAAAGCGGCUCACUGGAUCUCUUCUGACGCUGAGGCACGAAAGCUAGGGUAGCGAACGGG